AUUGAACGCUGGCGGCAUGCCUAACACAUGCAAGUCGAACGAGUGGCGGACGGGUGAGUAAUAUAUGGGAACCUGCCUAAUAGAGGGGGAUAACUACUGGAAACAGUAGCUAAUACCGCAUACUAUUGGAUCGGCCCAGAUGGGAUUAGCUAGUUGGUGGGGUAAAGGCUCACCUAGGCGACGAUCCCUAGCUGGUCUGAGAGGAUGACCAGCCACACUGGAACUGAGACACGGCCCAGACUCCUACGGGAGGCAGCAGUGGGGAAUUUUGGACAAUGGGGGAAAGCCUGAUCCAGCCAUGCCGCGUGUAUGAAGAAGGCCUUCGGGUUGUAAAGUACUUUUAGCGGGGAGGCGUUAUCCGCAGAAGAAGCACCGGCUAACUACGUGCCAGCAGCCGCGGUAAUAC
rnacentral:rRNA from 1 species